ACGGAGGGUCCGAGCGUUAUCCGGAAUUAUUGGGUUUAAAGGGUCCGUAGGCGGGCAGCUAAGUCAGAGGUGAAAGUUUGCAGCUCAACUGUAAAAUUGCCUUUGAUACUGGUUGUCUUGAGUUAUAGUGAAGUUGCCGGAAUAUGUAGUGUAGCGGUGAAAUGCAUAGAUAUUACAUAGAACACCGAUUGCGAAGGCAGGUGACUAACUGUAUACUGACGCUGAUGGACGAAAGCGUGGGGAGCGAACAGG
rnacentral:rRNA from 1 species